rnacentral:rRNA from 1 species
GUCGAACGGUAGGGGGGGCAACCCCUUGAGAGUGGCGAACGGGUGAGUAAUGUAUCGGAACGUGCCCAGUCGUGGGGGAUAACGUAGUGAAAAUUACGCUAAUACCGCAUACGAUCUAUGGAUGAAAGCGGGGGAUCGCAAGACCUCGCGCGAUUGGAGCGGCCGAUAUCAGAUUAGGUAGUUGGUAGGGUAAAGGCCUACCAAGCCAACGAUCUGUAGCUGGUCUGAGAGGACGACCAGCCACACUGGAACUGAGACACGGCCCAGACUCCUACGGGAGGCAGCAGUGGGGAAUUUUGGACAAUGGGCGAAAGCCUGAUCCAGCCAUUCCGCGUGCAGGAUGAAGGCCCUCGGGUUGUAAACUGCUUUUGUACAGAACGAAAAGGUCUCUAUUAAUACUAGGGGCUCAUGACGGUACUGUAAGAAUAAGCACCGGCUAACUACGUGCCAGCAGCCGCGGUAAUACGUAGGGUGCAAGCGUUAAUCGGAAUUACUGGGCGUAAAGCGUGCGCAGGCGGUUAUAUAAGUCAGAUGUGAAAUCCCCGGGCUCAACCUGGGAACUGCAUUUGAGACUGUAUAGCUAGAGUACGGUAGAGGGGGAUGGAAUUCCGCGUGUAGCAGUGAAAUGCGUAGAUAUGCGGAGGAACACCGAUGGCGAAGGCAAUCCCCUGGACCUGUACUGACGCUCAUGCACGGAAGCGUGGGGAGCAAACAGGAUUAGAUACCCUGGUAGUCCACGCCCUAAACGAU